UACGAAGGGGGCUAGCGUUGCUCGGAAUCACUGGACGUAAAGCGCACGUAGGCGGAUUGUUAAGUCAGGGGUGAAAUCCUGGAGCUCAACUCCAGAACUGCCUUUGAUACUGGCGAUCUCGAGUCCGGGAGAGGUGAGUGGAACUGCGAGUGUAGAGGUGAAAUUCGUAGAUAUUCGCAAGAACACCAGUGGCGAAGGCGGCUCACUGGCCCGGUACUGACGCUGAGGUGCGAAAGCGUGGGGAGCAAACAGG
rnacentral:rRNA from 1 species